rnacentral:piRNA from 1 species
UGAUGACUAAGGAUAUGGAUAGGUUUCAAU